CCCCUCUUAGGGUCGCACCUGGAGAGUUUCCAGUACUCUACCAGUCGCGGGUACAAGAGGGAGAGUUCAGGCAGAGGCCUACCCAUUCCAUUCCUAGCUUUGCCAGUGGUUAGCAAGUGGAAGGCAAUCUGCUACAAAU